rnacentral:lncRNA from 1 species
UAUAUAUAUAUAUAUAAAAUAAAGCUACUGUACUAUCUAUAGUACCAGAGCUCCAGUACUACAGUCUCGUUUUCGAUCUUAGGGUGUUCUAAAUAACGAUUCACACGUUAAAUAUGAUCUAGAGUAUAUUAAGUUCUUAGAAAUAAAGUUUUAGUUUUUCUCGACAUCGUUUACUUAGUAAGUAAAUUAUGUCAAAAUAAACGGUGAAAAUUAAAUAAUUUUUAAAAUUUGAGUAUAGGACUUUUAAAUUGUUGAUCUUGGUUUGAAUAGUUUAAAGUAUUUUCUACCAAAAUUGGAAGAAAUUUAGAUUCUUCUACACCGUUAAACUCCAAACUCGUCAUAGUAGCAAUUGAAAAUUUGCAAUUUUAAAAUGGUUUGAUAAUAAAGUAAACUAUGUCGAAAAAUAUAAAAUUUUAUUUCUAAAAACUUUAAAUAUGUUAGAUCAGUUUUAAUGGUGUGGAUCGUUGAUUCGAACACCCUAAAAUUGAAAACAAGAUUAUAGUACCGAAGCCCCGGUACUAUAGAUAUUAUAAGACCCUAGCGCUCUCUCUCUCUCUCUCUCUUUCUCUCUCUACACACACACACACCAAAAAGGUCGUAUAAAUCUUACACCCUCCAUCCUAAAUCUGAUAAAAAUUUAAAUAAUUUUUAGUAAAAAUAAAAAAAUUAAUGUGAUAAAUACAGUAUUAAGAGCCUUGGGAUAGAAUGGGUGUAAAAUAUACACCCUACUAUGAAAUGUUCCUGUAGCAGUGAUAUAUAUAUAUAUAUAUAUAUAUAUAUAUAUAUAUAUAUAUAUAUAUAUAUAUAUAUAUAUAGAUAGAAUUAGGCCGGAAUACUGUUAAUAGUAAAACGCACUUUUUGCUAUCAAGUUUUUAACCCUUGGAUGAAAAAUUGUAGGGUCAGGAUGAUUUUAGUCAGUUAGAGUUGAGUGGUCCCUCUAGGGUUGAGUAGUCCCCACUGGGUUAUAAUAUUUAAUCCAAUGGUUAGAAAUAAUGAAAAGAGUUGAUCCAAAGGCUAAAAAACUGGUAGCAAUAAUGGGAUUUUGCUACUAAUAGUAGCCCAGAGUCCAACUCUAU